rnacentral:rRNA from 1 species
CAGAACGAACGCUGGCGGCAGGCUUAACACAUGCAAGUCGAACGCAUCCUUCGGGGUGAGUGGCAGACGGGUGAGUAACACGUGGAAUCUACCUUUGCUACGGAACAACUCCGGGAAACUGGAGCUAAUACCGUAUGUGCCCUUCGGGGGGAAAGAUUUAUCGCCGAAGGAUCGGCCCGCGUCUGAUUAGCUAGUUGGUGAGGUAACGGCUCACCAAGGCGACGAUCAGUAGCUGGUCUGAGAGGAUGAUCAGCCACAUUGGGACUGAGACACGGCCCAAACUCCUACGGGAGGCAGCAGUGGGGAACAUUGGACAAUGGGCGCAAGCCUGAUCCAGCCAUGCCGCGUGAGUGAUGAAGGCCCUAGGGUUGUAAAGCUCUUUUGUGCGGGAAGAUAAUGACGGUACCGCAAGAAUAAGCCCCGGCUAACUUCGUG